ACAAAGUUCAAUUAAAGUUCCACACGGACUCAUUUAACUACGCACACAGCUAUCAGCGCAUUGCUGGAGCCACGUGAAGAUCUCCGAAAGUUAAAGGAAAGCUGAAGCCAAAUGAGUAAUUAGCCCCUCGUGGAUGUCAGCCCACGAGUUCUCACGGGUUGUGAAGACCAAUAAACCCUGUUUUAAACACCUCGUGCUCAUGCUAAUUCCUCGAGGGUGCUACAGUGAGAACUCUUCUGCUCCGCAUGGGUAGACGAGACGGUGCCAGCGCCGAGAGGGACAACAGCGCCACCCUGCGACGGCCAAAUGCACAACACCGAACUUCAGGUUCCCAAAGAUGAAUGUUGCAUCAAGGACUCCGAUUAAUAUUAGUUAAUAUGAAAGUAUAACCGUCGUGAAGAGACUGCAAUAAGAAACGGGAUAUUUUUCGUUUCUGUUUAAUCGAAGGGACUGAGAUAAUUUUUUUUUCUUUUCCUGUUCAAGUUUAAGUGAUUUGUUCAAUAGUGAAAUUUAUCUAAGUAACCUGUUUAUUGUUCAUAUUUAGCGAUUCAUAGUUAACAGGAAUUAGAUGUAAUAUUUGCCUAUUCAAGACAAGUUAUUGUUGCUUACUGCACACAGUGGUUUAAGUUCAAUAUUUUAUGUUGCAUUAGAAAAUUAAGACAUUUUGCAGUACUGUUGAGGCCUGUUCACACCG